AGCCGUUUUUUUAACUUUCCUUUCAGUAACAAGGAACAAAGCAACAACAAUGGCGACCGCGACAGAACAAAUGGACCUAGGUGACCAGAUGAUACGUUUAAUUAUGCUGCAAAAUCGAUCGCGAAGGCGGCGACAUAGAUUGUAUGUAGAACCGCAGGUGCACACUGGUACGUCAUCACAGCAUUUGACUAAAACGGACCAAUCACGAGAGAUUCCUCACCCGUCGGCAUCCCGCCACCACCUGCCUAUUUAUAUGCAGCUAGGAAGAAGGUGUUUGUUCUCCCCCCUCCCCCCUCACCGCAGGACUUGCUAACAGCAACUUCUUCAGCGACAGUUUUUGUUGUACUGUCUCACAAGGGCCACCGUACGAAUAACUUCCAUCCAUUUUCAACACCGCUUAUCCUGGUUAGGGUCACGGGGCACUGGAGCCUAUCCCAGCUGACUUCGGGCAAAAGGCGGACUACACCCUGAACUGGUAGCCAGUCAGUCGCAGGGCACCUAUAGACAUGGACAACCAUUCACACCAUCACUCAGUGGGAGCUGAACCCACGCUGCCUGCACCAAAGUCAGGCGAGUGUACCGCUACACCACAGAUGUCAAACUCAAGGCCCGGGGGCCAGUUCCGGGCCACCACAUGAUUUUAUGUUGACCCCAGAGGCAAAAAACAUGUCAACUUCCAUGAAUCUUGUUAAAAUCUGUACCAAAAUUUCAAAUCGUCAUAUAUCAUAAAUGAUAAUGUUGAGAUUUUAAGCAUUUUUGUGUUACCAAACAUUCAUAAUAGUUGAAAAACCCAUUACCCUUGAUUUCUGAUUCCAAAACUAGUUCAUACACUUCGUGUGUAAAUACAAUGAGGCGAUUAAAGGUUUUUAUGGUUUCACAGUCAUAACUGCCCUCUGAGGGAAACCGUAACUACAAUGUGACCCGCGACCAAAAUUAGUUUGACCCCCUGCCCUACACCAUCAGCGACUAAAAAUAACUUGUGCUAGCAUACUCUUGUUGCACUGCUAGUCAAGAUUAGUGAUCUCUGUGUGUUUUACUCUCUUAAAUGGAGUUCUUGAAAUUAGUCUAGAAAAAUUGCACCGCAUAAAGGUGUGUGUGUGUGUAUCAAAUGUAUACAAAUAAUUAACCACAACAUUACGUAAACCUGUGUAACCGGCCACCACACUCUGAUGAGCUAACAAUGAGACCUUUACAUAAUUUUAAUGUGACAAAAAAUGGACUCCAACUACAAUAAUAAACAAUGCUUUACAUAUAGCCCACUGUACAGUAAUUAUAUUAAUUGUUUCAGGAACCUGUUUCUGUCUACUGUACUGUUUAUUGUUGUAAUUGUAGUUUGCAAUGAUGUAGAAGUACUCGGAUGCAUACUGAAGCAGCGCAAUAAAGCCUACCCAUUCCAAAGGUUACUCACUGACAUUUGUUAUCACUCUGGGUGGGAACAAGGAAGCUGCUGCAAUUUCGACAUUUUUCACAGCAGUAUUCUAUCCAGUGCGUGUGUAUUACCAUACAUAAUGCUGUAUUUAAAGAUAUUGUACUUUUGUCCAGUCAGUUCUCACACAAACAACCAGUAGUGAGUGCAUAUGUUGAGUAUUUCAGCGACUUGUACAGUGUAGCCUUUGGAGCAGUAGACAGCAACCUAAGAAUGACUAUUUUUGUAAUAAAUAGUUUUUUAAUAGAUCGAUGGAUGGAUAGAUUUGUUAGCUUUGGUAGCUUCAGAAGAAAAUAAUUAAAACCUCUGCACAUGACUCUGUGUUUGUAAUAAUGAUUGAAAUUAAAAUAAUAUAUAUUUAAAUAGUUUAUUCAUCUGCAAGGCAUAUUUAGUACUAUAUGAUAUAUCAGUACUUAUUAUAUAAUGCAUCAGUACUGAUUACUUAUUAGUGAAUAUUUGCUGCGUAUGCCCCAUUUGUCAUUUAUUUCAAGCCUAAUUAUCACUGUCGUAAAAUUUAAAGAAGGAAAUGCAUAUGGAUUUUAAAAUGCUGGUUUGAACUUCGAAAGAAGUCAAGGUGCGCCUGCUGCAUGUUAAACACUAACACUGUAGUUGUACAGUUGGGAUCAACCUUAAAAUUCAUAAAUACAGUGGGUACGGAAAGUUUUCAGAUCCCCUUACAUUUUUCUCUUUAUGUUGCAGCCAUUUGCUAAAAUCAUUUAUUUUUUUUCCACAAUGUACACACAGCACCCCAUAUUGACAGAAAAAAAAACAUAAUUGUUUAAAUCUUUGCAGAUUUAUUAAAAAAGAAAAAAUGAAAUAUCACACAGCCAUAAAUAAGUAUUCAGACCCUUUGCUGUGACAUCUAUUUAACUCGGGUGUUGUCCAUUUCUUCUGAUCAUCCUUGAGAUGGUUCUACACCUUCAUUGGAGUCCAGCUGUGUUUGAUUAUACUGAUUGGACUUGAUUAGGAAAGCCACACCCCUGUCUAUAUAAGACCUUACAACUCACAGUGCAUGUCAGUGCAAAUGAGAAUCAUGAGGUCAAAGGAGCUGCCUGAAGAGCUCAGAGACAGAAUUGUAGCAAGGCACAGAUCUGAGCAAGGGUACAAAAAAAAUCUGCUGAACUUAAGGUUCCUAAGAGCACAGUGGCCUCCAUAACCCUUAAGACGUUUGGGACGACCAGAACCCUUCCUAGAGCUGGGCGUCCAACCAAACUGAACAAUCGGGGGAGAAGAGUCUAUGUGAGAGAGGUAAAGAAGAACCCAAAGAUCACUGUGGCUGAGCUCCAGAGAUGCAGUCGGGACAUGGGAGAAAGUUCUAGAAGGUCAACCAUCACUGCAACCCUCCACCAGUCGGGGCUUUAUGGCAGAGUAGCUCGAUGGAAGCCUCUCCUCAGUGCAAGACAAAUGAAAGUCCGCAAGGAGUUU